UGGACCUCAGUGUCCGGGCAGAAUGGGGGAGGUGGAGAUGCUCCUUCAGGUAUAGUGGACCGAGGCCGUUUAGGGCUUUAAAGGUCAGCACCAACACUUUGAAUUGUGCUCAGAAAUGUACUGGGAGCCAGUGUAGAAUGGAUGGAGAGAUGGAGAUAUCCUGAGCUGGCAGAGAUAGAGUGGGGAGAGAAAAGACUCUGUAAAAUUUGGAGCGAAUUUAGAGGGGAAAGUAAAGGUAAAGUUAUUCCUUUGAUUACAUCCUUGACCUGCCAGUUACAAUGAAACUCUUCCUCUGGCUUCUCCCCAGGCUGCUGAUUGCUCUCCCUUGUCUUAUUACCCCAUCCUAUCAUUCCUGCUUGUGGUAAGCUUGCAAGUAUAAUAUCAGUUGUAGUAGAUGCUUGUCUGUACUGUGUUUAAUAUGUGGAUUACCAAGAUGGGGCAGAACAAAUCACCACCUCUGUUUUGACACAAGCCACCUACUUUAUUUUGGGCAAGCCCCAAAUCCAUCUCAGACAGACACUUUGGGUCAGCCUAAAAAUAUGACUCUGAUGAACUCUUCAGACCUCUAGUUACAAUUAGCAGAGGUUUAUAAUGAGAGUACUUGUUGAUAAAUGAGGAAUUAUUUUAAUGUGCCCGUGUCUAACUGAUCACAUUGUAUUUGGUUAGGAGCUUUUUUCAUUUUCUCUUUGAAGAGGGCUCCACUUGCUUCUGUCACCAUCUCCCAUUACAAGGACAUGGUUCAAACCCAGGAACCCCUGAUUAUGUGAAUCCAUUCAAAUCCUAUUUCAAUUUGUCUCCCAGUGUCUGUCAAAUUUGUCCCUCGGGCCCGAGCUACUCCUCCUCCGGUCGAGGCCUUCAUUCUCUCCUCUGACGAUAAUUAACGACCUGAGCCUUUGAUCAGGCUCCAGGCACAUUCCCAAUACGCAGAGUAUCCAGCACGCAGGGAAGGAGCUGAGAUAGUAUGAGCUACAUGGCUAAGAGUUUUAUUCCUAAGUACGCAGACAGUAAGAAUUUAUAUCCUCUUUCUGUGGAAGGCAGAGAGCAACUGAAAAACAAAGGAACAGGAAACCAGUAAACAUCACAUCUGUCUCCCGUCCUCCAUGAGACUUCCAACAGUCUGGAAUCCCUGGAAUGUAAACAGAGUCCUGUGACUCCAAGCAACUGCACAGUGGCAACACACAGAAACCUAACAAGGGAGUCCCUAUUUUAUGUAAGUCAUAGGGCUCCCCCUACUGGUGGUUUACCCUGCAGACUGGCGGGAAUCAAGAUAUAGCCUGGCCUAAGCUAAAUAAUGCCUAAGCUAAACCACCCGCAUCUGUAAACAAUAAAGCUGUGGCCUAUUUGAACGCAUAAACCAAAAUAA